UGGUGGAGCGAUUUGUCUGGUUAAUUCCGAUGACGAACGAGACUCUGGCCUAUUAAAUAGUUCGCCGAUUCCGAUCUGUCGGCGUUAACUUCUUAGAGGGACAAGUGGCUUUUAGCCACGCGAGAUUGAGCAAUAACA
rnacentral:rRNA from 1 species